CCUACGGGUGGCAGCAGUGAGGAAUAUUGGUCAAUGGACGAGAGUCUGAACCAGCCAAGUAGCGUGAAGGAUGACUGCCCUAUGGGUUGUAAACUUCUUUUAUAUGGGAAUAAAACGUUCCACGUGUGGGAUUUUGUAUGUACCAUAUGAAUAAGGAACGGCUAACUCCGUGCCAGCAGCCGCGGUAAUACGGAGGAUCCGAGCGUUAUCCGGAUUUAUUGGGUUUAAAGGGAGCGUAGGUGGAUUGUUAAGUCAGUUGUGAAAGUUUGCGGCUCAACCGUAAAAUUGCAGUUGAAACUGGCAGUCUUGAUUACAGUAGAGGUGGGCGGAAUUCGUGGUGUAGCGGUGAAAUGCUUAGAUAUCACGAAGAACUCCGAUUGCGAAGGCAGUUCACUGGACUGCAACUGACACUGAGGCUCGAAAGUGUGGGUAUCAAACAGGAUUAGAUACCCCAGUAGUC
rnacentral:rRNA from 1 species